rnacentral:rRNA from 1 species
GAUAAACGCUGGCGGCGUGCCUAAUACAUGCAAGUCGAACGAAGGUUUUGUAGCAAUACGAAGCCUUAGUGGCGAAUGGGUGAGUAACGCGUUGGUGACCUGCCCCGAAGUGGGGAAUAACAGUUCGAAAGGACUGCUAAUACCUCAUGUGGUCACGAGGGUUGAAUACUUUGUGUCUAAAGGAGCAAUCCGCUUCGGGAGGGGCCUGCGUCCCAUCAGCUAGUUGGUAGGGUAAUGGCCUACCAAGGCUCCGACGGGUAGGGGGCCUGAGAGGGUGGCCCCCCACACUGGCACUGAAACACGGGCCAGACACCUACGGGUGGCAG